rnacentral:miRNA from 1 species
GUUAGAGUCAUGGAGACCAUCCUGGUAAGAAUCAGCAGUGAGCGGGGCUGAGCCCUUUGAACUCCUGAUCAGCAGGCAGAGCAGGGCUGCUGGUUUGUCUGCCCUGCAGGGAUGAAACUUGACGUCCACUCACCCUUUCUAAGCGUGUUUUCCUCCACUGUUGACAGC